ACAGGCAGCAAGUUUGUCGCGUAGGUCUUACACAAGACUUCCGAGGAAAGUCCGGACACCAUAGAGCAUCAUAGCGGGUAACACCCGCCAUCACGGCAAUAGCUGUGAUAGGACAAGUGCAACAGAAAGUAUGUACAGUGCGGCUGUAGUGAAACCAGGUAAACUCUAUGUGGUGCAAUGCUAUGUAUAUUGGCAGUCUGCUACGGCAGAAACAGGUGACUCGUCUGUGCCAAGGGGUAAGCAGCUAGAGUCUAUGAGCAAUUGUAGACCGAGAUAAAUGACAAACGUUUAUCAAAAGUAAUUUUGAUGAAUUACAGAAUCCGGCUUAUGCUGUCUGUCUUA
rnacentral:RNase_P_RNA from 1 species